GAAAAAUUAAGCUAUUAAGAGCACACGGUGGAUGCCUUGGCGCUAGGAGGCGAUGAAGGACGUUGUAUGGCUGCGAUAAGCCUCGGUUAGCUGCCGAACAAGCUAUGACCCGGGGAUGUCCGAAUGAGGAAACUCACCCGUAAGGGUACCCGAAAGGGAGCGAACGCGGAGAAUUGAAAAAUCUUAGUACCCGCAGGAAUAGAAAUCAUAAUGAGAUUCCCUUAGUAGUGCGAGCGAAGAGGGAAGAGCCUAAACCUGAUGAGCAUUGAUGUGGAAAGAAAUUAGUGACAGCCACCUAUUUUCCGAAUUUCUUUGAGCUGCCCUUAAAAGCAGCUCAAGGAAAUUCGGAAAAUAGGUGGCUGUCACUAAUUUCUUUCCCAUGAAUGCUCAUCAGGUGUUGUAGGGCGCACAAUAAAGCGGACCGAAGUCGGUAGUCGAACACAGUUGGAAAGCUGGGGCAAAGAAAGUGAAACCCUGGUAGACGAAACUGAUAACGGCCGUGAGUGCGUUCCUGAGUACCACGAGACACUUGAAAUCUUGUGGGAAGCCGGGUGGACCACCACCCAAGGCUAAAUACUACCUAGCGACCGAUAGCGAACUAGUACCGUGAGGGAAAGGUGAAAAGAAGCCCGAUGAGGGUGGUUAAAAGAUCCUGAAACCGUGUGUUUACAAGCAGUGGAAGUACUAUGUUUCACCUUUGGUGAAACAGUACGACCGCGUACCUUUUGCAUCAUGAGUCAGCGAGUUGCGCCUCAGUAGCGUCAGGUUAAGCCGAUAGGCGAAGCCAUAGCGAAAGCGAGUCUUAAAAGGGCGAAUUAGUUACUGGGGGCAGACCCGAAGCCAAUGUGAUCUAUCGAUGAUCAGGUUGAAGCCAGGAUAACACCUGGUGGAGGACCGAACUGGUGGGAGUUGAAAAUCCUUCGGAUGAAUUGUCGAUAGGGGUGAAAGGCUAAUCAAACUUGGCGAUAGCUGGUUCUCCUCGAAAUAUAUUUAGGUAUAGCCUCGGACAAUAUAUUUGAUGGGGGUAGAGCACUGAUUGGACUAGGGGACCUACCAGUCUACCAAACCCAGAUAGUCUCCGAAUACCAUCAAAGUCAGAAUCCGGGAGUCAGUUUGCGGGUGAUAAGGUCCGUAAGCGAAAGGGAAAGAGCCCAGACCAACAGCUAAGGUCCCAAAAUAGAUGCUAAGUGGAAAAGGAUGUGGAAAGACUUAGCCAGCUAGGAGGUUGGCUUAGAAGCAGCCAUCCUUUAAAGAAAGCGUAACAGCUCACUAGUCAAGUCAGUCCGCGCCAAAAAUUCAAC
rnacentral:rRNA from 1 species